rnacentral:tRNA from 1 species
GCGAGCGUAGCCAAGUGGUUAAGGCAGUGGUUUGUGGUACCACCACGCGCGGGUUCGAAUCCCGUCGUUCGCCCUA